GACGAACGCUGGCGGCGUGCUUAACACAUGCAAGUCGAACGGAAAGGCCCCUUUGGGGGUACUCGAGUGGCGAACGGGUGAGUAACACGUGAGUAACCUGCCCUUGACUUCGGGAUAACUUCAGGAAACUGGGGCUAAUACCGGAUAGGAAUCCUUGCUGCAUGGGGGGGGUUGGAAAGCUUCGGCGGUUUUGGAUGGACUCGCGGCUUAUCAGCUUGUUGGUGGGGUAGUGGCUUACCAAGGCUUUGACGGGUAGCCGGCCUGAGAGGGCGACCGGCCACCUUGGGACUGAGAUACGGCCCAGACUCCUACGGGAGGCAGCAGUGGGGAAGAUUGCACAAUGGGCGGAAGCCUGAUGCAGCAACGCCGCGUGCGGGAUGACGGCCUUCGGGUUGUAAACCGCUUUCAGCAGGGGCGAAGCUUGUGGUGACGGUACCUGCAGAAGAAGCACCGGCUAACUACGUG
rnacentral:rRNA from 1 species